GCAGAUGUGGCGGAGUGGUCGAAUGCGGCUCCCCGCUAAGGAGCAGGCCGGCGGUAACCGGUCCGGAGGUCCGAAUCCUCCCAUCUGCG
rfam:Lachnoclostridium sp. YL32, complete genome.